rnacentral:rRNA from 1 species
UGAGUAACGCGUAGGAACCUGUCAUCAAGUGGGGGAUACCGCUGGGAAACCGGCGCUAAUACCGCAUGUGGUCAGUGAUGAAGAAAGCAGCAAUGCGCUUGAUGAGGGGCCUGCGUCCGAUUAGCUGGUUGGUGGGGUAACGGCCUACCAAGGCGACGAUCGGUAGCUGGUCUGAGAGGAUGGUCAGCCACACUGGGACUGAGACACGGCCCAG